rnacentral:lncRNA from 10 species
UGUUAAUUUAAAUGAGAAAAAUAAGGACAGUGAAAAACAGAGCGCUUAAAAAGCACUGUCUGGAUAUCUUCAGAGGGAAAAAGGAGAAAGUUAACUGAAUUGGUGACACUUCGGGUCUCUCACAGAGGAAGACCUAUUAGAGUGCUAAGGAGAAGACAAGUUAUUAGCACCCAAAAGAAGCACCAGUGCGGAUGGAAAUACAAGGUUGACAUUCGCUGAGCUGUGUUUUUUUUUUCCAGGGAAAUGGUUAUUCUUGAUAUUUUGAGCAAACUCUUCUUCUCUGAUCAGUGCCCAGAACAAGGAAACAGACCUUCUCUUUCCAGUACCUCCUAUCUAUCUAGAUAAUACGGAAGCCAGGGAGAAGAAUGGGAACCCAAGAUCUAUGAGCCCUUAUGGCAUAUGAAAAGUGGGUGUUAUCUGAAAAGUAGAACUCUAGAUGAAACCAGGCCUUUCCCAACAAUGGAGCCCAGGACAAUGCUGUCUUCAAUGUCCAUACCAUUAGACUUGUUAUAGAUGAGUUUCUAUAAUGAUGGCUUUCUGGUUAAUUAAACCUUCUGAAUGAUUCUGUGUAACACUGACUUCUGUGAUUCAUCACAGAACAAGUCUUCCUUCUUUCAUGGAGUAUUACUGUUUUCAGUGACUAUAUUUGGUUGUUUACUCUUUUUGGCACCAAUCACCCAGUGAAUCAACAACCAGAGUUGCAAACAAAUUACCCUCAUUGUCUUUUCCGAGUCCCUUAAUUUACUUUAUUUUUCAUUUGUUGCAAAUGUCAUUGUUUCUGCUAAUGUUGUUUUUUAACAUCUGCCAAGAUAAAAAAUAAAAAAAUCACUUGUAA